rnacentral:rRNA from 1 species
AUUGAACGCUGGCGGCAUGCCUUACACAUGCAAGUCGAACGGCAGCACGGGAGCAAUCCUGGUGGCGAGUGGCGAACGGGUGAGUAAUAUAUCGGAACGUGCCCAGUCGUGGGGGAUAACGCAGCGAAAGCUGUGCUAAUACCGCAUACGAUCUACGGAUGAAAGCGGGGGAUCGCAAGACCUCGCGCGAUUGGAGCGGCCGAUAUCAGAUUAGCUAGUUGGUGAGGUAAAGGCUCACCAAGGCGACGAUCUGUAGCUGGUCUGAGAGGACGACCAGCCACACUGGAACUGAGACACGGUCCAGACUCCUACGGGAGGCAGCAGUGGGGAAUUUUGGACAAUGGGCGCAAGCCUGAUCCAGCAAUGCCGCGUGCAGGAUGAAGGCCUUCGGGUUGUAAACUGCUUUUGUACGGAACGAAACGGUGAGCUCUAAUACAGUUUGCUAAUGACGGUACCGUAAGAAUAAGCACCGGCUAACUAGGUGCCAGCAGCCGCAGUAAAAC